AGAUCUAACAGAGAACCUGGACUGUCUCCUAUCAUGAUUCCCGGGAAAUAUCGCUCUGUUUCUGGCCGGGCUGCGAACAACGUGAACUGCGGGCUUCAUCUGGUUAUUCAAACAUCAUCGCUUCCUGAAAAAAACAAACAUUUAUACUUACCUACUUUCUACACACUAUGUCUCAAGACACAACAUGAUUUUUCCUCCUUUGACCAAGUUGGAAACCUCUAACCAUCACAAUUCAGGUGUGUCCUAAAAAGUUAUUAAAUAGGCGUCACUGGAAGAACUCUAAAGUGAAGGGCAGAGUUCACACAUAACAGCAUGAAGAAGGGUUGAAUUCAAGCUAAAUAAAGACACAUCGUCAUUCCCCGGUAGACUUUUACAACAUGACCUUGAAAGAAACUACUCAAGUAGGCAAGACAAAAGCUGACCGUAUGUCCUAUCAUCAAUGGGGAAGACCACCUUCGUUUGUUGAACUUUCAACACAAUUUUAUAACUCGGAUACAAAAUAUUUCUAAUCUACAGAAGUUAAUAUCGUUGGAUUUAUAUGAUAACCAGAUUGAAGAAA
rnacentral:lncRNA from 1 species